rnacentral:rRNA from 1 species
CGGAAUGCUUUACACAUGCAAGUCGAACGGCAGCACGGGGGCAACCCUGGUGGCGAGUGGCGAACGGGUGAGUAAUGUAUCGGAACGUACCCAGUCGUGGGGGAUAACUAUCCGAAAGGAUAGCUAAUACCGCAUACGUCCUGAGGGAGAAAGCGGGGGAUCGCAAGACCUCGUGCGAUUGGAGCGGCCGAUAUCGGAUUAGCUAGUUGGUGAGGUAAAGGCUCACCAAGGCGACGAUCCGUAGCGGGUCUGAGAGGACGACCCGCCACACUGGAACUGAGACACGGUCCAGACUCCUACGGGAGGCAGCAGUGGGGAAUUUUGGACAAUGGGGGAAACCCUGAUCCAGCCAUUCCGCGUGAGUGAAGAAGGCCUUCGGGUUGUAAAGCUCUUUCAGCAGGAACGAAACGGCCGACUUUAAUAAAGUCGGCUAA